GACCCACAAUCUCAUAUCUCUUUCUGAUACAAUCUCUCACUGAUUACAAUUCAGUUGCAGUUCGACUCUGGCAUCCUCUUUCAAAUUAAUUGGAAAGCCAAUGAUUUAUGCGAUAACUUUAUCAAGAAUUAAAUCAUUUAUAACAUCAAUUCAUACAUUGGAUGGAUUUUUUGGAACGAUUUAUUUAUAAGGGGAAGUAAUAUUUGGAUUAAAUUCAAUGUUUGGACCAUCAGAUGAGCUGUGAUAAUAUUUGGAUAUUUGGAUGCAUAUUGUUACAACUGGAAGUAAAUCAGUAAAAAAAUUUUAUAAA